UACGAAGGGGGCUAGCGUUGUUCGGAUUUACUGGGCGUAAAGCGCACGUAGGCGGAUUGUUAAGUGAGAGGUGAAAUCCCGGAGCUCAACUCCGGAACUGCCUUUCAUACUGGCAAUCUAGAGUCCGGAAGAGGUGAGUGGAACUCCUAGUGUAGAGGUGGAAUUCGUAGAUAUUAGGAAGAACACCAGUGGCGAAGGCGGCUCACUGGUCCGGUACUGACGCUGAGGUGCGAAAGCGUGGGGAGCAAACAGGG
rnacentral:rRNA from 1 species